UCAUAGAGGUGCAGCUGACAAGAGUAGCAAUUACGAGUUAGGCAUAACGAAGACUAAUUGUGAAAGGGGAGGUUGCCGAAGUUUAUUCAUGCCAAAGAAUUAAGCUGGGUCGCAGUUGAAUAAGUUGCGAACUGUCGCGAAUAAAUCGCGGAGCGCUAUCG
rnacentral:ncRNA from 1 species